rnacentral:rRNA from 1 species
CCUAAUACAUGCAAGUCGAACGAACGGAGGAAGAGCUUGCUCUUCCAAAGUUAGUGGCGGACGGGUGAGUAACACGUGGGCAACCUGCCUGUAAGUUGGGGAUAACUCCGGGAAACCGGGGCUAAUACCGAAUGAUAAAGUGUGGCGCAUGCCACGCUUUUGAAAGAUGGUUUCGGCUAUCGCUUACAGAUGGGCCCGCGGUGCAUUAGCUAGUUGGUAGGGUAAUGGCCUACCAAGGCAACGAUGCAUAGCCGACCUGAGAGGGUGAUCGGCCACACUGGGACUGAGACACGGCCCAGACUCCUACGGGAGGCAGCAGUAGGGAAUCUUCCGCAAUGGACGAAAGUCUGACGGAGCAACGCCGCGUGUAUGAAGAAGGUUUUCGGAUCGUAAAGUACUGUUGUUAGAGAAGAACAAGGAUAAGAGUAACUGCUUGUCCCUUGACGGUAUCUAACCAGAAAGCCACGGCUAACUACGUGCCAGCAGCCGCGGUAAUACGUAGGUGGCAAGCGUUGUCCGGAUUUAUUGGGCGUAAAGCGCGCGCAGGCGGUCUUUUAAGUCUGAUGUGAAAGCCCCCGGCUUAACCGGGGAGGGUCAUUGGAAACUGGAAGACUGGAGUGCAGAGAGGAGAGUGGA